CCUACGGGAGGCAGCAGUGGGGAAUAUUGCACAAUGGGGGAAACCCUGAUGCAGCGACGCCGCGUGAGUGAAGAAGUAUUUCGGUACGUAAAGCUCUAUCAGCAGGGAAGAAAAUGACGGUACCUGACUAAGAACCCCCGGCUAACUACGUGCCAGCAGCCGCGGUAAUACGUAGGGGGCAAGCUUUACCCGGAUUUACUGGGUGAAAGGGGAGCGUAGACGGCAGCGCAAGUCUGGAGUGAAAUCCCAUGGCUUAACCAUGGAACUGCUUUGGAAACUGUGCAGCUAGAGUGCAGGAGAGGUAAGCGGAAUUCCUAGUGUAGCGGUGAAAUGCGUAGAUAUUAGGAGGAACACCAGUGGCGAAGGCGGCUUACUGGACUGUAACUGACGUUGAGGCUCGAAAGCGUGGGGAGCAAACAGGAUUAGAUACCCCUGUAGUC
rnacentral:rRNA from 1 species